AAUUACUUUUGGGGCUGAUGCCAAAACUGGGUGACUCUGAAGUCCAAACAACAACACCCAAUUAAACAGAGUCAUAGUACUUUUUCUGCUAUUUGUGCAAGUGUCAGUUACAUUCAGUGCCUCUGGGCAGGCCCGGGGAACCUCUGGAGAUUAGAUAGAUUCCAAUGCCUAAAUUAUCUCAACACUGCACAGAUGAAAUCAACAUGCUUUUGAUUGCAUUGGGAUGAACAUUUGCCGAUCCUGGAGAAGCUGAGGCAGUGUUGUUCAGGCGAAGGGCAAUAAAACUGCUGGAGUAGAUGACUUGUGCCUGGAACUCACAAACCUGGUCUCCCCUUCAAUAUCUCAGCGAUACAGAGCAGUGUGUGGGCCCUUCUCUGAUCAAGAAAGCUAGUGACAGGCUGCUCAAAGCAAUGAUCUCCAAGCAGUAUUGGUUGCCCCAUUGUGCCAUCUGACAGCUGGAUCAGCAGGGUCAGUGGCCUAAAGAGCAGCAGAGCCAGGUGGAUGCCAGGAACCUACGACUGAUGGAAAGGAAAGGUAUGGAGGACAGUAGG